UGGGGUGUGGUUCAGUGGUAGAGCAUGUGCCUAGCUUGCAUGAGGAGCUGGGUUUGAUUCUCAGCACCACAU
rnacentral:tRNA from 1 species